rnacentral:rRNA from 1 species
UUGAGUUUGAUCCUGGCUCAGGACGAACGCUGGCGGCGUGCCUAAUACAUGCAAGUCGAGCGCAGGAAGCAGACUGAUCUCCUUCGGGAGUGAUGUUUGUGGAAUGAGCGGCGGACGGGUGAGUAACACGUGGGCAACCUGCCUGUAAGACCGGGAUAACUUGCGGAAACGUGAGCUAAUACCGGAUAAAGCUCCAUGCCGCAUGGCAUGGGGAUGAAAGACGGCUUAGCUGUCGCUUACAGAUGGGCCCGCGGCGCAUUAGCUAGUUGGUGGGGUAACGGCUCACCAAGGCGACGAUGCGUAGCCGACCUGAGAGGGUGAUCGGCCACACUGGGACUGAGACACGGCCCAGACUCCUACGGGAGGCAGCAGUAGGGAAUCUUCCGCAAUGGGCGAAAGUCUGACGGAGCAACGCCGCGUGAAAGAAGAAGGUUUUCGGAUCGUAAAGUUCUGUUGUUAGGGAAGAACAAGUACCGUUUGAAGAAGGCGGUACCUUGACGGUACCUAUCGAGAAAGCCCCGGCUAACUACGUGCCAGCAGCCGCGGUAAUACGUAGGGGGCAAGCGUUGUCCGGAUUUAUUGGGCGUAAAGCGCGCGUAGGCGGUUUCUUAAGUCUGAUGUGAAAUCUUGCGGCUCAACCGCAAGCGGUCAUUGGAAACUGGGGAACUUGAGUGCAGAAGAGGAGAGUGGAAUUCCACGUGUAGCGGUGAAAUGCGUAGAGAUGUGGAGGAACACCAGUGGCGAAGGCGACUCUCUGGUCUGUAACUGACGCUGAGGUGCGAAAGCGUGGGUAGCGAACAGGAUUAGAUACCCUGGUAGUCCACGCCGUAAACGAUGAGUGCUAGGUGUUAGGGGGUUUCCGCCCCUUAGUGCUGGAGUUAACGCAUUAAGCACUCCGCCUGGGGAGUACGGCCGCAAGGCUGAAACUCAAA